rnacentral:rRNA from 1 species
GACGAACGCUGGCGGCGUGCUUAACACAUGCAAGUCGAACGGGAGUAUCGAAGAAGCUUGCUUUUAGAUACUUUAGUGGCGGACGGGUGAGUAACGCGUGAGGAGCUGUCCUAUGCAGGGGGACAACAGUUGGAAACGACUGCUAAUACCCCAUAAGCCGAGAGGUAAAAGGAGCGAUCCGGCAGAGGAGGUACUCGCGUCCUAUCAGCUAGUAGGUGAGGUAACGGCUCACCUAGGCGAAGACGGGUAGCCGGCCUGAGAGGGCGAACGGCCACACUGGAACUGAGAUACGGUCCAGACUCCUACGGGAGGCAGCAGUGGGGAAUAUUGGGCAAUGGGGGCAACCCUGACCCAGCGACGCCGCGUGGGUGAAGAAAUCCCUCGGGAUGUAAAGCCCUGU